GUUGCAAGGAAAACGUAAACAAGUUGCACAAGUGUGACGUCAUGCAAACAACGAUUCUGUCAAAUUCGUUAAGAGAGAAAUGGCGGUCCGAGAUCAGGCGCAACGUUUGUAUUCUCUCAAUCGUGAUUUGUUACUAUAUUCGUUUUCACUGUUUACCUUAUUUCAAAUAAUUUAGUGCUUUUUAAAUAUAAACAGUUUAACUGGCACAUAUCUGCGUAUGUAUGUAUAUAUUGGUUAAUGGUUGGCUUGGCUUGACAUUCCAGGUGUUGCUGUAUGGGACAAAUCCACACUUUAUCGCACAUUGUUGUAUUCAAGUUCUUUAUUAUUAAAUGUUAUCAAUAAAUGAAGCAUGAAAAUUUUAGACUAUUUGAUUAUAAGUAUGUAUUUAAAAUAAUUUUUGUUUUCCGUUACCUCCAUUUCCCCAUCUUUUUUCAUAUUAGAGUAUUUCUUACAUUCCACUAUCCAGUUCCCUCCCUCCGUCUCCAUAUCUCUACUAAACCAUUUUGUAAAUGCUUUAUACAUAUGUCCUAUGUACAUACAUACAUGCAUAUUUCAGCAAAUUAUUAAAUACUAAUACAUAUGUUCUAGUAGAUCUUGCUGCAUCCUCUUACUUUACUCCUUAGCUGCUUUAUACCUUUAGUCACACGCAGUGCCUCACUCGAUAGUCCGUUCGUUUGCCGUAACGUUUAACAGCCCCCUCACCACCUUCCUUAUCAUUCUUCGUCAGUAUUUCACUGGCGUUUUUCGUUUUCGUUUUCGUUUUAUAUACGCCUUUAACCCUCUUUGUCUCCGACCAUUGCAGGCUACAGCACCGCUGCUAAAGACUCCGCUGUCUCAAGCACAGCAGGCGUACGCAACGGCUGCCACCACAUAUACGGCUGUGGCGGCUAGGGCUGCUUAUGGCGCUGCUGCCGCCGCUGCACAGCCAGCACUGGCCGGUUACGCCACCGUCGCGGGAUACGCCGCAAGAGAGUAUGCAGAUCCCUAUUUAGGACAUGGCAUAGGACCGGUACCCGGCUAUGGGGCAACCAUGUAUCGAGGUGGAUUCAAUCGUUUCACGCCAUAUUAAUUUAAGAAGAUACCUGGACGACUAGGUAUGGAGA